GCGGACCGGGAUAUCAUCAAAGAAGAAGAAGCACCUAGGGCGAUAGCUCUUCCUGUAGUAGCAACAUGGCUAGCUGCUGUUCCCUGAAAGUAUUGACACUUUUCAGCCUGUUUAUUGUUCCUGGCGCGGUGGAAAGUAAUAAUAUUGAGGCUAAAGCUGGUCAAUUCUUCAGCAGUGGACACACAAACAACUGGGCAGUUUUGGUGUGCACAUCCAGAUUCUGGUUCAACUAUCGUCAUGUGGCCAACACACUAUCUGUGUACCGUAGUGUCAAGAGACUGGGCAUCCCAGACAGGUAGCUAACUGUUACCCUG